GACGAACGCUGGCGGCGUGCUUAACACAUGCAAGUCGAACGGAAAGGCCCUGCUUUUGUGGGGUGCUCGAGUGGCGAACGGGUGAGUAACACGUGAGUAACCUGCCCUUGACUUUGGGAUAACUUCAGGAAACUGGGGCUAAUACCGGAUAGGAGCUCCUGCUGCAUGGUGGGGGUUGGAAAGUUUCGGCGGUUGGGGAUGGACUCGCGGCUUAUCAGCUUGUUGGUGGGGUAGUGGCUUACCAAGGCUUUGACGGGUAGCCGGCCUGAGAGGGUGACCGGCCACAUUGGGAAUGAGAUACGGCCCAGACUCCGACGGGAGGCAGCAGUGGGGAAUAUUGCACAAUGGGCGGAAGCCUGAUGCAGCAACGCAGCGUGCGGGAUGACGGCCUUCGGGUUGUAAACCGCUUUCGCCUGUGACGAAGCGUGAGUGACGGUAAUGGGUAAAGAAGCACCGGCUAACUACGUG
rnacentral:rRNA from 1 species